AUGACACAUGUUAACAGGUGUGCUCGUUGUGUGUUCUCGUGUGCACAGGUGUGCUCAUUGUGUGUCCUCAUGUGCACAGGUGUGCUCACUGUGUGUCCCUGUGUGCACAGGUGUGCUCAUUGUGUGUCCUUGUGCACAGGUGUGCUCAUUGUGUGUCCCUGUGUGCACAGGUGUGCUCAUUGUGUGUCCUUACCUGCACAGGUGUGCUCAUUGUGUGUCCCUGUGCACAGGUGUGCUCAUUGUGUGUCCCCAUGUGCACAGGUGUGCUCAUUGUGUGUCCCUGUGUGCACAGGUGUGCUCAUUGUGUGUCCCUGUGUGCACAGGUGUGCUCAUUGUGUGUCCGUGCACAGGGGCUCCGCCCAUGUGCACAGGUGUGCUCAUUGUGUGUCCCUGUGCACAGGUGUGCUCAUUGUGUGUCCUUUCCGGGGCUCAUUGUGUGUCCCUGUGCACAGGUGUGCUCAUUGUGUGUCCUCGUGUGCACAGGUGUGCUCAUUGUGUGUCCCUGUGCACAGGUGUGCUCAUUGUGUGUCCCCAUGUGCACAGGUGUGCUCAUUGUGUGUCCCUGUGCACAGGUGUGCUCAUUGUGUGUCCGUGUGCACAGGUGUGCUCAUUGUGUGUCCCUGUGCACAGGUGUGCUCAUUGUGUGUCCCUGUGCACAGGUGUGCUCAUUGUGUGUCCCUGUGUGCACAGGUGUGCUCAUUGUGUGUCCCUGUGUGCACAGGUGUGCUCAUUGUGUGUCCCUGUGCACAGGUGUGCUCAUUGUGUGCCCUUGUGUGCACAGGUGUGCUCAUUGUGUGUCCAUGUGCACAGGUGUGCUCAUUGUGUGUGCUUACCUGCACAGGUGUGCUCAUUGUGUGUCCCCAUGUGCACAGGUGUGCUCAUUGUGUGUCCCUGUGUGCACAGGUGUGCUCAUUGUGUGUCCCUGUGUGCACAGGUGUGCUCAUUGUGUGUCCCUGUGCACAGGUGUGCUCAUUGUGUGUGCUUACCUGCACAGGUGUGCUCAUUGUGUGUCCCCAUGUGCACAGGUGUGCUCAUCCCGUGUGCAUGGGGUGUUACCCCACCCAAACAGGCAUUGUAACACAAGCACACUGGUAUCAGUAUUGCACUACUAUGGCUAAGCUUAAUUAGCAGCAGAAAUAAAAAUUAUAUCUGUAUAACAAAGUUAUUUUAACGUCCCACAUAUAAAAUCCAUUUAAUAUUUGCAAAAAGCCAAUAUUAAUGUGUGUAUCUACAUCAGCUAUUGCAAUGAGCUUAAUUAACAAAUACAAAAUAUAUCUUUAUAGCAAAGGCACUUUAACACAUAUAAAAUCCAUAUUAAUAUUUGCAAAAAGCCAAUAUUAUAGUGUGUAUCUAUAUCAGCUAUUUCACUCAGCUUAAUUAACAAAUGCAAAAUAUAUCUUUAUAGCAAAGGUAUUUUAACACAUAUAAAAUCCAUUUUAAUAUUUGCAAAAAGCCAGUAUUAUAAUAUCUAUCUAUAUCAGAUAUUGCACUGAGCUUAAUUAGCAGCAGAAAUACAAACUAUAUCCUUGCAACAAAGUUACUUUAACACAUAUAAAAUCCAUUUUAAUAUUUGCAAAAAGCCAGUUUUAUAAUGUGUAUCUAUAUCAGCUAUUUUGCUGAGCAUAAUUAACAAAUACAGACUAUAUCUUUAUAACAAAGUUACUUUAACAUAUAUAAAAUCCAUUGCAAUAUUUGCAAAAAGCCAAUAUUAUAGUGUGUAUCUAUAUCAGCUAUUGCAAUGAGUUUAAUUAGCAACAGAAAUACAAAUUAUUUCUUAAUAGCAGGAUUACUAGCAAAAAGCCUAAUAUACUUCAACACUACACAAAAUCCCACUUUUAAUACUUUAACAUAUAAAAAUCCAUUUUAAUAUUUGCAAAAAGCCAAUAUUAUAACGUGUAUCUAUAUCAGCUAUUGCACUGAGCAUAAUUAAUAAAUACAGACUAUAUCUUUAUAAGAAAGUUACUUUAACAUAUAUAAAAUCCAUAUUAAUAUUUGCAAAAAGCCAAUAUUAUAAUGUGUAUCUAUAUCAGCUAUCUCACUCAGCUUAAUUAACAAAUACAAAAUAUAUCUUUACAACAAAUUACUUUAACACAUAUAAAAUCCACUUUAAUAUUUGCAAAAAGCCCAUAUUAUAAUGUGUAUCUAUAACACUGAGAGCCUGGGGUCCAUCCUUGGAACAUUGAUAAUUUAGGGGUUUUCCCCGUUGUUUCUUUCAUCUUUCAAUAUCCAGUUUCAUUCAUCAGCAAACCUAAAGUUUAUUUGUAAAAGCAAACCUCUUUUUCCAUUCAUCAGUCAGUGGAAACCUUUUUGAUUUUAAACUUCUUCAGCUUGCUGUGCACACACUCCGCCCACCACACACUUCCAAAACUUUUCACUAUUUCUACAUUUUAGCCAACAAAAAAUUCAUACCCAUUGGCUAUAAAUCACAGAAUUGUCAUUAAUUAGCAGUUCAUCCUCUAUUGAUUAUUGAUUUCUCUUCUUGUGCUGUUUCAUUCCCAUUUUCAGUCUCUUUAUUGCCUUUUUCCCAGCCAGGGUGAGUUCCAGCACAGCUGUGUGCUGCCUGCGUCUCUUCUUUAUCUCUGGGCUCUGCAGAAUGUCCUUGUGCUCCAUAAAUCCCGCAUUCCUCCCGUCCAAUCCCAGCAAAAACAUCUCCCUGUCUCGGGCUUUGUUUCUUGAAAAGCAGCGAGGUUUUUCAGCACAGCUCCAAGGCUCAGCCCCUUCCCCAAACUGGGCUCCCAAAAUCGCGUUCGGUGACGAACCUUGCUAAGGGCUGGCUGCAUUGCUGGAAAACUUAAUUAGGACAAUUAAUUCGGACGGUUAUUAGGAAAGUUUUAUCAUUUCCAAUGCAAGUUUGUGAGUGGUUCAGGAAGGGUUGGGCGUGUCAGGAAAAAUAAUCCACAAACACCAGAGGUUUGUGUCCAAAGAGGAGCCAGAGGAGUCCUUUUGCUUUAUUCCAAUAAAGGGAGAGGCCAUGGGGCAUUCCCCUGGGAUCUCUCGGAUUUUUGGAGGAUGCAGCCUCCUUUUUAUCAAUUUCCCUCUCUUUUUCCCCAUUUCUGAGGUGCCUGAGAGGUUCAGGCUUCCCAGAACACCUGAUACCAAAGAUUCCCCUCUUAGGUAUAACCCUGCCCUUUAAUUUUUAAUUCUUAUGGAAUUCAGGGGUUUUUUCCCCAUUUCUGAGGUACUUGAGAGGUUCAGACUUCCCAAAAUGCCUGAUACCAAAGAUUCCCCUCCAAUGCAAGACCCUGCCCUUUAAUUUUUAAUUCUUAUGGAAUUUAUUUUAAUUUUUAAUUCUUAUGGAAUUUAGCGUUUUUUCCCCAUUUCUGAGGUACUUGAGGGGUUCAGGCUUCCCAGAACACCUGAUACCAAAGAUUUCCCUAUAAUGUAUAACCCUGCCCUUUUAAUUUUUAAUUCUUAUGGAAUUUAGGGGUUUUCCCCAUUGUUUCUUUCAUCGUUCAAUAUCCAAUUUCAUUUAUCAGACGUUUUAUUUCAAUGUCUAAUUUUCCUUUAUCAGCAAACCCAAAGCUGAUUUGUGAAAGUUUCUUUUAUCUUUUUCCAUUCAUCAAUCAGUGGAAUCCUUCCCAUUGUUUCUUUCAUCUCCCAGUUUUAUCCCCCAGCAGACCCAGAGCUGGUUUGGAAAGACAAAUCCCUCAUUGCUCUCGGGUGGGAGCAGGGGAGAGAUUCCCUUGUGUUUGAUCCCUGUUCCCUCUGCAGUCCUGUCUGGGGUGGGCCCCUGGGAUAUUUCCUUGUGUUUUCCCAAGGUCAUUUCAUCCCCUUGUCCAUGACUCUGAAAAACUCAGAAAAAUCA
rnacentral:lncRNA from 1 species